rnacentral:lncRNA from 1 species
CUAGGAAGCACCGGUACGAAUACGAAAUACGAAUACGAUACGAGACGAGAACGAAAAUACGUCAAUAUCCCAAAAAUCACAAUACGAAUACGUUAAAAAUACGUUUUAAUUUUUAUAAUAAUUUUAUAAAUAAUAUUAAUAUAUAUAUCAUAGAAACUAAUUCAUAACCAAAUAUAAAAAAUAACUACUUAAUUCUUAAAACUUAGAAGUAAAUAAAUAAAUAACAAAAUUAAACCCACCCCUUACCUACACCAAUCGGCCACCCAAGUAAAUAAAUAACAUAAUUAAACCCACCCCAAUAUACCCACCGCCUACCAUCAAUAUUAGAGUGUUUAAUAUUUAGAAUUUAACCCAUCGAUUAACCCCCAAUCUUCCACGAUACGCACCCCCAAUAUAAACCCAAUUCACACUCCAAUUCAUGAACUGCUCCAGAACAGCGGCGGCGGCAGUCGCGACGGCGGAGAAUGGGCUGGGAUUUCACACUCCAAUUCAUGAACUGCUCCAGAACAGCGUCGGCGGCAGUCGCGACGGCGGAGAAUGGGCUGGGAUUUGCGCCGUUUGCAUAUAUGUAGGGUUUAGGAGAUGAGAAAUUCAGAGAACUAAUUCGCGUCAGUAGGCUUGGUCUUCUUUUUUUUCUUUUUUAAAUUGGGUCAAACGUAUUUUCUAGUCAACAGGCGUAUUAAAAACGUAUUUCUCAAACCCUAAAAACAAAAAUACGAAAAAAAUGAAAAAGACGUAUUAAAUACGUAUUUCAGACGUAUUUACACGUAUUCGUAUUUUUUUCGUUUUAAUACUCGGACGCUACCCUCAGAAACGUACUGGUGCUUCAUAG